rnacentral:rRNA from 1 species
GACGAACGCUGGCGGCGUGCUUAACACAUGCAAGUCGAACGGAAAGGCCCUGCUUUUGUGGGGUGCUCGAGUGGCGAACGGGUGAGUAACACGUGAGUAACCUGCCCUUGACUUUGGGAUAACUUCAGGAAACUGGGGCUAAUACCGGAUAGGAGCUCCUGCUGCAUGGUGGGGGUUGGAAAGUUUCGGCGGAUGGGGAUGGACUGGCGGCUUAUCAGCUUGUUGGUGGGGUAGUGGCUUACCAAGGCUUUGACGGGUAGCCGGCCUGAGAGGGUGACCGGCCACAUUGGGACUGAGAGACGGCCCAGACGCCUACGGGAGGCAGAAGUGGGGAAUAUUGCACAAUGGGCGGAAGCCUGAUGCAGCAACGCCGCGUGCGGGAUGACGGCCUUCGGGUUGUAAACCGCUUUCGCCUGUGACGAAGCGUGAGUGACGGUAAUGGGUAAAGAAGCACCGGCUAACUACGUG